rnacentral:rRNA from 1 species
AAUAUUUGACAAUGGGGGAAACCCUGAUCCAGCCAUGCCGCGUGUGUGAAGAAGGUCNNNGGAUUNUNAAGCACUUUUAGUUGNGGNNAAGGGUUGUUGGCUAAUAUCCAGCACUUUUGACGUUACCGACCGAAUAAGCACCGGCUAACUCUGUUCCAGCAGCCGCGGUAAUACAGAUGGUGCAAGCGUUAAUCGGAAUUACUGGGCGUAAAGCGCGCGUAGGUGGUUCAGUAAGAUGGGUGUGAAAUCCCCGGGCUUAACCUGGGAACUGCUUUGAUAACUGCUGAGCUAGAGGACGGUAGAGGGUAGUGGAAUUUCCUGUGUAGCGGUGAAAUGCGUGGAUAUAGGAAGGAACACCAGUGGCGAAGGCGACUACCUGGACUGAUACUGACACUGAGGUGCGAAAGCGUGGGGAGCAAAC